GACGAACGCUGGCGGCGUGCCUAAUACAUGCAAGUAGAACGCAGUUGCGAACGGGUGAGUAACGCGUAGGUAACUGCCUGGUAGCGGGGGAUAACUAUUGGAAACGAUAGCUAAUACCGCAUACUACCAGAUGGACCUGCGUUGUAUUAGCUCGUGGGGGGGGUAACGGCUCACCAAGGCCACGAUACAUAGCCGUCCUGAAAGGUUGAUCGGCCAACCCGGGACUGAGACACGGCCCGGACCCCUACGGUAGGCAGCAGUAGGGAAUCUUCUGCAAUGGACGGAAGUCUGACCGAGCAACGCCGCGUGAGGGAAGAAGGUUUUCGGAUCGUAAAGCUCUGUUGUAAGAGAAGCGGUAUCUUACCAGAAAGGGACGGCUAACUCCGUGCCAGCAGCCGCGGUAAUAC
rnacentral:rRNA from 1 species